rnacentral:snoRNA from 1 species
AGAUCAUUUCAAAGAGGGCUGGGGGGACCCAACCCAGGAGCCUUCAACACUGCGACCAAAGAUUGACUUCCCUAUUGGCUAUACUAGUCACUGAGAGUGCUACAUUUUCCUGAUGGAGACAUAAGC